rnacentral:rRNA from 1 species
AGAACGAACGCUGGCGGCAGGCCUAACACAUGCAAGUCGAGCGGAUCCUUCGGGAUUAGCGGCGGACGGGUGAGUAACGCGUGGGAACAUACCCUUUGGUACGGAAUAGCCUCGGGAAACUGAGAGUAAUACCGUAUGUGCCCUUCGGGGGGAAAGAUUUAUCGCCAAAGGAUUGGCCCGCGUUGGAUUAGGUAGUUGGUGGGGUAAUGGCCUACCAAGCCGACGAUCCAUAGCUGGUUUGAGAGGAUGAUCAGCCACACUGGGACUGAGACACGGCCCAGACUCCUACGGGAGGCAGCAGUGGGGAAUCUUAGACAAUGGGGGCAACCCUGAUCUAGCCAUGCCGCGUGAUCGAUGAAGGCCUUAGGGUUGUAAAGAUCUUUCAGUGGGAAGAUAAUGACGGUACCACAGAAGAACGCCCCGGACUAACGUCCGUGCCAGCAGCCGC